AGCAGCAAGUCGCAAACUCUAACUCAACCAAUCAGCUACAAGUCCGCAGAUCAGCUGAUCUGGUUCUAUCUCUUUUUUAAUUUUUAUUUUUAAUUUUUUAACUUGUCCUGUCCAACAGCUGAGCAGACAGAUGAGAACUGAAGGCCUCUAUUGUUGGACAUAUUUUACUUUAACAAGAGGGGUUAUUAAUCUUCAGACAAAUCAGAGGUAUGUCUGAAUAAACCCCUUUUGGAAUCGAGGCCAAACUUUAUUCAUUUUAAUCGUAUUUGAAAAUCUUUUCUGUUUGACCGGACUGAAAAGGAAAGGAGGGAAGAAGAGAGAGGGAUGUUAGAGAUAGGGGGGGGGGGGGGGGGGGGGGGAAAAGGGGGGGGGGGGGGGGAUGUUGUUCUAUCUCUGACUGCCAAAAUCAGCUGGAAAGCUGAGACAUAUUUGUCACAUAAACACCUGAUUGGAACAAUCAAACUUUCAAUUUGGGCUCAAAUUCAAACUAGAAAAAUGCUGAAUUGGUUUCCCUUUGUGCACCGCCAUAGACUGGUAGACCAUCCAAGAUAAACCUCAUUCUCAUCCAACAGGAAGCUGGGUGGGGGUUCAGCAUCCCUGUGACCCCAGAUGGUGCUAAGGUUAAGAAGAUGGAUGGAUGAUGGAUUACUGGAUUGAUAGAUUUUCCUAUCUUCCUAUAUGAAGGUGGUCAAUAACCUUUAAGUACCCCAAAAAACUAGGAAUUCAAAUUUGAGCCAAACUAAAGAUCAUCAUCCAACAUCACCAUUUACCAGAGAGGGACAAUUUAACAACAAUAGGUUCAAUAGAUAGUUGUAAGGUUGAGCCAUUAAAGAAAACGUGCAGCUGCUGAAAACCUACGGAGUGAUUCAACUCUCAGCUUUAACUACACAAAUAUUAAUAAUAACUAGAAGGAUCUGCAUUUCCACAGGAAAAUGCAGGGUUGAAUGUUAGAUUUCUGAAUGAAAGUGAACCUUAAAGGGUCAUAAUUGGCAAAAAAAGAAAGAAAGAAAUGAUCAAAGUUGACCAUAAAUAAAGUGAAAACAGCACAAUAACAAAAAAAUGUUUGUAAAGAAAAAGUGCAAGAGCCGGGUAUCAAACCAGCGAGCUUCUGCACCAAGGAUUUUCCAUGAAUUUCAAUGGAGGCAAAAAUCCUGGAAUAUCUGGAAAAGUUCAAGGAUUUGAAGGAUCAAAGGUCACAGCUGGAAAAAGAUAAAAGAGCUGAACAUUUGAAUAGUUGGAUGGUUGAAAGAGGACUUAAGCAGCAAAAGAUGGAGGAGGAUACUAGAAUAAAGAAAGAGAAACGGGAAAACAAUG
rnacentral:lncRNA from 1 species